AGAAGCUGUGUGCUGCCUGGGCCCCCUCUGCGGUAACAUGGAGCCGGGGGGCCCCCCACCGGACCACCAGGGAUGGAAUCUCCCCCCUCCCUGGACACAGGUAAGCAGGGAGGGGGGAGAAACAUUUAAUUAAAUUAAUAAAAAAUUAAUGUUAAAAUGCCCCUUCCUCCCCCUCACCCCAGAUCACACACUAACAACACACACUGCAUACAAUAACA